rnacentral:hammerhead_ribozyme from 1 species
ACACUGUUGAGAAGUCCCACAAUAGGACGAAACGGCCGUCCAGUGC